AGAAGGCGUCAGCACACAAACAUUUGAUUGACACGAUGGAGUCAACCGUCAAGAGACACUUACAAAGAGCAGCAGCAGCGCUGGCGUUACCACGAUGCCCUACACAGCACAAAGACCUGGUUAGACACCAUCUUGGUACGGCUGAAUCAUGUGCGCCACUAGAACCUUACCAGGAAGCUUCCAAAUGCAGAGUUGAAAAUUGCAGCAGCCUGGCAACACACAGUCAAUCGGUCACCAUGGCAACACUACGUCUCCUCACCGAGCACCUUACCUCGUUACCGCCAACAGCUUUGGUGAGAAUGACGGCCGAGGAGACCGGAGGCGGCAUGCAGCUCACCGUCUGUAACCUAGGCAACAACACCAUGAGAGAAAUAAUGCAUGUUGCCUUUAUGACAACUGGGAAAUUCCAGUUUUAACUUCACACAGGCCUCCUUUAAUAGCAAUGAAUGAGACUUUGGUGAGGAACUUCAGGUAAAGUCAACAGUACUUGAAUAAAGGAUCUAUUCACACACACACACACACACACACACCUACCCUCUGAGCAGCCAUUGGUCGAUAGCAGUCAGCGCGAGCACUCUGACCAGCAACCACACCGCCAGGGGGAAGAAGAUGAGCGUGAACGAUUGAACGAACAGGGGGUGUAUACCUCCGUCUUCAGCGAGAGGCCGCUGUUGAAGAAGAUUAGCGAGACUGCAACAUAUGAGAUGGUGAUCUCUGGCCUCAGCGGUCCUGACACACACACAAAGAAACGCCUAUGCAGAGGUCGUCACGGCGAGGGACGUGUCCAACUCCACAUCAGCGCUGUACUUCCUGAUGAUGCAGCAAGUGUGCACGCUGCCUAGCGACACCUUUCGGAGUCGACAUUUGUCAUGUGACCUGUUGAGUGUCCGGGAGUCAAAGAGCAAACCCAGGUCUUGUGCACCUGAGUCUUCGCAUUACAAGCAGCACAGGAAAGGCCAAAUGCUCCAAACACAGAAAUGAUCCAAAACCAAAAAAACACACAAACAUCACAAAACAUGCUGCAAAAUUCAGCAAAAAUAAAAAUGCGGCAAUCACAUAAACACUGUCGCAGGGGCACCCAAUCACAGGCGAGGCUGAACUGGGCCGUGGAAAACUUUCAGAAGCAAUGACAAAAAAACCAAAACGUUUAAAAAAGGUUUUAUAAAUAAUUACAUCGAAUGACAUGUAAAUGCAUAUCAAUUUGGAAACAAGGGCUAUUAUUUUAUUGGAAAAUAUUAUGC